CCUUAGAUGUUCUGGGCCGCACGCGCGCUACACUGACAGAGCCAACGAGUAUAAACCUUGCCCGAGAGGGUUGGGUAAUCUUGUUAAACUCUGUCGUGCUGGGGAUAGAGCAUUGCAAUUAUUGCUCUUCAACGAGGAAUAUCUAGUAAGCGCAAGUCAUCAGCUUGCGUUGAUUACGUCCCUGCCCUUUGUACACACCGCCCGUCGCUACUACCGAUUGAAUGGCUCAGUGAGGCCUUCGGACUGGCUCAGGGAGGUUGGCAACGACCACCCAGAGCCGGAAAGUUGGUCAAACUUGGUCAUUUAGAGGAAGUAAAAGUCGUAACAAGGUUUCCGUAGGUGAACCUGCGGAAGGAUCAUUAAGAAAAAUCCACAGCCGCGCGGUCUCGGCCGUCGCGGCGCCUGGGCUUCGGCUCAAGGUUAAACCCUUUGUGAACCAAACAAAUCUUUUCGCUUCGGUAGCAGGUCGGUUGGAGCUUCACCGCUCCCGCCGCGCCGUCAGCCUGCCGGCAGCAACCAAAACAAAACUCUUGUAAGCUUAAAAACAUGUAUGUCUGAAAACCAUUUUCGAAUGAAAAUUAAAACUUUCAACAACGGAUCUCUUGGUUCUCGCAUCGAUGAAGAACGCAGCGAAACGCGAUAGUUAAUGUGAAUUGCAGAAUUCAGUGAAUCAUCGAGUCUUUGAACGCACAUUGCGCCCCCUGGUAUUCCGGCGGGCAUGUCUGUUUGAGCGUCAUUUCAACACCUCGUCCGUUGACUUUUUUUGUCAUCCGGUAACGGCCAUGGGCUUGUCGAGCGGUUCCUCGGAAUCGCUGGCGGGCUUUAAAGUUGAACGCUCCGCGGGUGACUCAUUGCCAAACCGAACUAGUAGAAUUUCUUUCUGUUGGGUAAGGUUGGGCUCACCUCGCCUGAACAAAACCACAAAUUCUUUAAGGUUUGACCUCAGAUCAGACAAGGAUACCCGCUGAACUUAAGCAUAUCAAUAAGCGGAGGAAAAGAAACCAACAGGGAUUGCCUCAGUAACGGCGAGUGAAGCGGCAACAGCUCAAAUUUGAAAUCUGGAGUUUUUAACUUCCGAGUUGUAAUUUGAAGAGGAUGCUUCGGUUAUGACCCCGGCCUAAGUUCCUUGGAACAGGACGUCGCAGAGGGUGAGAAUCCCGUACGCGGCUGGCGGUUUAUUUCCAUGUGUAGCUCCUUCGAAGAGUCGAGUUGUUUGGGAAUGCAGCUCUAAAUGGGUGGUAAAUUUCAUCUAAAGCUAAAUACUGGCGAGAGACCGAUAGCGCACAAGUAGAGUGAUCGAAAGAUGAAAAGCACUUUGAAAAGAGAGUUAAACAGUACGUGAAAUUGUUGAAAGGGAAGCGCUUGCAAUCAGACUUGCUUGCGGUUGAUCAACGUUCCUUUUGGUUCGUGCACUCUGCCGUUUGCAGGCCAGCAUCGGUUAGGACGGCGGGACAAAGGCUCCGGGAAUGUGGCUCCCUUCGGGGAGUGUUAUAGCCCGGUGCGUAAUGCCGCCUGACCUGACCGAGGACCGCGCUUCGUGCUAGGAUGCUGGCUUAAUGGUUGUAAGCGAC
rnacentral:rRNA from 1 species